UUGUUUUGUAAUAUUAUACUACUUAAUAUUAUAUAUUCAAUAUGUCAAGUUCGACUGAUAUUUCAAAAAUUACAAGACUUUAGUUUUUAUAUCAAAUUUAAAUGAAAACUGCAAAAAAAAUUUAGGGCACUUCAAAUUAUAUAUUACCGAACUGCGCUCGGAAUCGUCUUUCGUCAAGUAAUGGUUUAUCGUUGCUUACAGAUAAAAAUAAAAUAACCUUAUGUAUCCUACUUUCCUAACUUCUCACCUACAACAGUGGCCGCUCCCAUCACCAGUAUCAGCUCUUUUUUUAAAAUGUAUUAUUUAUAUUAAUUUAUUAUAUUUAUUUGAAUAUUAACCUGUAUUCUACAGCCUUAGAUUCGUAGAUAGAUUAAUAUAUCGUCUUGUAGAAUACAGUCUUAUAUCUUAUUAUAUAUUUGUUUAUUAAUCUGUAUUUUAUAGCCUAUUAUAUCUAUAUAAUAACAACAUUUUGUAUUCUUUUAUACGGAAAAAAUUUAAAUUCAUAAUAAUAAUAAUAAGAAAAUUUUGGUUUUCGUACAUAAUACGUGAGCCGCAUGUUGGGCACCCCUGUUGUUUAUACGUUGUCGUUGUCUGAGAGUCUACAGCUAGUGGUGAACGACGUACGGGGGAUUUAAAGGACAGUCGCAACUGCACGUACAGCGACCGAAUAUAAUCGUUUAUUGCCACGCCGUCGGACAGACAGAGAAACUAAUAAUAAUGUGCGACAAAGACGACCAAGAAAUUCCAGGGUCGUAGCACACAACAGGUCUUCGGCCAUUAACGAUCCUAAAGAUGUACUCAUGCGCGUGCGUACACAGUUUCGACAAAACAUUGUGUAGUAAUGUUAUGGAAUUUCGGAUUCGUACCUAUAUCAACUCUAUAUAUAAAAAUGGACACCUAUUUUCCUUGGUCAUGCCAUCAUUUGAAAAUAACUAGAGCGAUUUUAACGCAGUUUUUUGCAAAAUAUUCCGCAUUUUCCGGGAAAGCUAUUUAAAUACAUCCCAUAUAGAAUACAAUCCCCC